GAUGAACGCUGGCGGCGUGCCUAAUACAUGCAAGUCGAGCGAACAGACGAGGAGCUUGCUCCUCUGACGUUAGCGGCGGACGGGUGAGUAACACGUGGAUAACCUACCUAUAAGACUGGGAUAACUUCGGGAAACCGGAGCUAAUACCGGAUAAUAUAUUGAACCGCAUGGUUCAAUAGUGAAAGACGGUUUUGCUGUCACUUAUAGAUGGAUCCGCGCCGCAUUAGCUAGUUGGUAAGGUAACGGCUUACCAAGGCAACGAUGCGUAGCCGACCUGAGAGGGAGGUCGGGUAGACGGGCAGUGAGACACGGUCCAGACUCCUACGGGAGGAAGCAGUAGGGAAUCUUCCGCGAGGGGCGAGAGCUUGACGGAGCAACACCGGCUGAGGGAUGAAGGUCUUCGGAUCGGAAAACUCUGUUAGUAGGGAAGAACAAAUGUGUUAGUAACUAUGCACGUCUUGACGGUACCUAAUCAGAAAGCCACGGCUAACUACGUG
rnacentral:rRNA from 1 species